rfam:Salmo salar isolate Sally breed double haploid chromosome ssa16, whole genome shotgun sequence.
AAUGCACCAAUUUGUAAGUCGCUUUGGAUAAGAGCGUCUGCUAAAUUACGUAAA